rnacentral:rRNA from 1 species
UACGUAGGGUGCGAGCGUUAAUCGGAAUUACUGGGCGUAAAGCGUGCGCAGGCGGUUCGUUGUGUCGGCGGUGAAAGCCCGGGCUUAACCUGGGAAUGGCCGUUGAAACUGGCGAACUGGAGUGUGGCAGAGGGGGUGGAAUUCCGCGUGUAGCAGUGAAAUGCGUAGAGAUGCGGAGGAACACCGAUGGCGAAGGCAGCCCCUGGGCUAACACUGACGCUCAGGCACGAAAGCGUGGGGAGCAAACAGGG